rnacentral:misc_RNA from 1 species
AAGUCGUAACAAGGUUUCCGUAGGUGAACCUGCGGAAGGAUCAUUAACACGUGAAAACGUAUUAAAGUACCUUAUACUAUUGCCCCCCGUGAAUUUUACAUCCCUAUUCAAUAACUACUGUUCUAUAUAAUACGUGGUAGGAUAUGAUCGCAAGAUUGUAUGCAAUUAUAUAGCAUCUGAGGCUUCGAGCCUAAAGUACUAUUGUUAGGCAUUUUUUUAUUGUUCCCCUAUCACCAACAAGCUAAAACAAACCAAUUUCACAAUUUAAUCCUAUAUGACUGAUGUAAGUUGAUAGUACAGAAAUGUAUAGUUCAACACCAUUUAUCUAAAACUAGAGCACAACUCUUAGCAAUGGAUAUCUUGGUUCUC